rnacentral:rRNA from 1 species
UGCCUUCAGGAUGGGACAACAGACGGAAACGACUGCUAAUACCGAAUAAGUUCCAAGAGCCGCAUGGCCCAUGGAAGAAAAGGUGGCCUCUACUUGUAAGCUAUCGCCUGAAGAGGGGUUUGCGUCUGAUUAGCUGGUUGGAGGGGUAACGGCCCACCAAGGCGACGAUCAGUAGCCGGUCUGAGAGGAUGAACGGCCACACUGGAACUGAGACACGGCCCAGACUCCUACGGGAGGCAGCAUG